GUCUCCGCGUUUCAUCGGACUGCCUCCCCGUAUCCCUUCCCGCAACGCCCUUCCUCUCCCGGUCCGCACGUCCAGCUCCACCACGCCAACCGCCGCCGCGCAGCUCUGCCUCCGCAACGCAGGCCUCCGCACGCGCAAGCGCGGGAUCUCGCGCGGGCGCACGUCCAGCUCCACCACGCCAACCGCCGCCGCGCAGCUCUGCCUCCGCAACGCAGGCCUCCGCACGUCCAGCUCCACCACGAUAUCAUCCGCCGGACGCACGCCAGUCCAACCGCCGCCGCGCAGCUCCCCGACGCACGCCGUCCAGCUCCGUAACCCGUAGCAACGCACCGGAACGUCGUCUCGCCUCCGCCUCGGCCUCCGCACGCGCAAGCGCGGGCUCCCAGGCCGGAUUUCGCGCAGCGGCGGCGGCAGCGGCUUCCUCCUAGGCCAGAUUUGGUGUGGCGGCGACGGCGGCUUCCUCCCAGACCGGAUUUGGUGCGGCGGCGGCGGCGGCUUCCACCAUGGUUGGAUUUGGCACGGCAACAGCUGAUUCGUCCCCGAUCUAUGGCAGAAGCUUCACCAGUGCUUCUCCUGUUUGGUGGGAUGCAGCCGACGGGGGAUCUCCAAUUUCUCCCGCAUUUCAGCAUCCAGCAAGUUGGGAUCGAUGCAUGACUUCAACCAAACGGCAACAGGAUGGUGUACGGUAAUCAGGACUAAUACUGCGAGUCCGAUGGCGGCGAUGAUCACCAUCUCUGUACCUGUCUUGUUCAUAUCGCUCCCUACUUCUGCUCUGGUUUCGCCUUCUAUAGUCUCUGUCCUGAUAAUCCUCUCGAUACCUUCACAAAUGGCUAGCACUCAUAUUAAAAAUAAAGAUAAUUCAUUUGAAAUACUAUACCAAUUUUAGUACUAUGAGUAACAGAGCUAUCAUCCCAGCUGAAAAUUUCUUAAGUUAUAUUGUAUAGGUCUAAUUUGGUGCCUUCGUGGUACCAUUUGGGCACUUGAGCAAUAACCAUGAAACACAACACCAUUUUGCAGGGGCCCUUGUAUGCUAUAGCCUAUCACAAAGGUAAUAUGUGCAGCAUACAUUCAUUUUCAUUUCAUAUUUUAUAGUGGAAUAGUAUUCCUUUAAUCCUCUUUAUUUGGCAUUGUAGCAGUUAAACGAGACAACUAGGAGUACAUCUCUACUAAAGUAGUGAAGUGUGCCUAUUCCAUUUAGUGCAAGCAACACUUUUCUUUGUUUAUUGGUUAAUAAGCCUAAACAUGAGCAGUUUGGGAGACAAACAAAUUUAGUACGCAGCAAGAUUCACAAAGUCAAUAAGGGCAUGAGGUCAUAACUAGCUUUUCCUUCAGUGCAUGCAAUUUUGAAACAUCAUACACAAAGGGAACAGAGGGAGUACCAACUAUGUCAUUGUCAAGAUUCAAAUAUGCAGGCUAUUUCUUACCUUGGUCUUGGACUGCGGCUUCUGAAACGACCCCUUGGCUUUGGAUUUUCUUCUGUAAUUCUACCCCUAUGGCUGCAAACACAAACAAGAAGGCAAUGCUUAAUAAGUGAAAUUGCUUUUAGUGUUUUGCCAUUCUCUGAGUUGUAUUGAUGCACUUAAUAGAUAGUAAAAUGAUAGUAUCAACAUAUUUUACAUGAUAGCAAGCGACAUUCUUGAUUAUUGUAAUGGGUGUUUUCUUAGAAAAGAAACAAUAUGAGUUAAACAGGCCAUGUAAUGUGACUUUUGCCCUCUGCUAGAUGUGUAAACAAGUAAUUUGGGUUUGUAUGUCUAAUAGAAACACUCUUACUUGCCAUUUCUAAACUUCAUUCAGACAUAUACAAGUAGAGUCAAAGUUCUUACUUGCCCAUCUAAUAGAUUUCAGUAUUAGAUGGGCAAAUGCAGUAGCAUUUAGAUUACACAAGAAUUUAGAACUUGGUAAUUUUUGUUACCAUAAUUUUAGUCUAGGACAUGAAAAAUCAGGAAUAUAUUUUUAUUGGAGUGCAAGUUGAGAUAUCAGAAGACAUGCAACUGGUGCUUGCAGAUUCUCUCAUGCAGCUGUAUGCAGCUGCUGCAUUUUGGCUUUAAUAGGUGAGACAAGAAUGUGUCUCUUCCGGCCCCCGUGAAAUAUAGUUAUUACUUAUGACUGUUUAGCUAGCUCCAUGCUCUUAGUUUUAUUGGGCAGCUUCAUUUCUGCAAUGCAGCAUCUCAGUUAAAGCAAGUAUCAAUCAUCCAGUUAAUUCUUGUCAAUUGGGACUUAUGAAUUAUGAUAGUUUUAAAAAGCUAUCUCCUAUUCUCAUUUCCAAGACUGGUGUAUUUGUACAGGGAAACAUAAGUUUAGUCACAUUCAAUAUUUCAUGAACACGUAGACUUGUGUCGAUUUCAUGUACAACUCUGUUUGGCAUGCCAUUUUCCCUGUGUUGAUUUUGGGAAGAAAGCAAAUUCUUCUGCUACUUGCAUAGUUAGAAGAUACUAGAUACCAAUUGUUUAAUUUGCCUUAUGGCCGUUUGGGCAGCUGCACAAGCAAUUCCUGAGGAUCUCCUUUCUCUCAAGAGAGAGCAACUCGUCUGCUUCUUUAUGGGAAAGCCAGAUUUAUCCGGGCAUUAGGGGUCAGCCAUUGGUUGUAAUGAACAAGGACUAUGUGGCAGCAAUACUAUUUUUCUCUUCAAUUCUAAUAAUAUGUGUAUUUCUGCAAUUUGUUUAAUUUUUCUUUAUUUUAGUACUGCAGUUUUAGGGCAUGUUUUUAAUUUUUGAACGUUGUCAUUCUAGAUAGUAAAUUUGCUUCUUGGUGGAUUAUUUAUUGGUGAGCGCUAGGGGUACAUUUUAGAUUGGAUUCUUUGUCAUUCCACAGUUUAGCUUAAGCGUGCUGACAAUUCUCAGUUAAGUUGUCGUAACAUUCAAGGUUCAGCUGACAUGCACACUACAACAUAUAUUUAGCUUAAAUUACCCCCUAUCUGUUGCUAUCAUGGGCUCAUGGCUGCACAACCACCACAGUACACAUUAUAUAAAUGAUGGUCAGUAUACUUGCUUUGUCUACAGUUGAUAUGAAUUUGUCUGCCUUUUAGUAUGUAUCUGUAAAAUUUUUGUUUCAUGUUUGUUUUUCUGCUUACCAGGGAAGGGGAAGAUACAAUGUUUACUUCCUUAUGAUUGUUGCCCAAAUUUCUCUACUGUAAACACUACACAGCAGAAGGUGAUCCAUAGCUUCCGGCGCCUGGUCAUAGAUGAUGCAGUCUUUAGUGCUCUGCAACCCAUGACAAUGUCUCCUAGCAGUAGUACAACAACGUCCAUGCAUCACCAGCCAAAAGAAUUUUUUGACUCAUGGGAGGACAUCUUUUCCAGAUUUGCUUGGCUUCAGGCGGAUUUGAUGAACCAUAGAACAUUGCGACAUAGGCCGAGGCUGCACAAUACUGCUGGUCGUCGGACAAGCACCGCGAGGUCAAGAUACCGGUAAUCUCACACCCAUGCUCGUUGUGGAAUUGCUUCCGCCACUCCCUAGCCACUGCCAUGAACAACACUAUAGGAAUUCAGACUUAUGGUUGUUGAGUUUUGGAGUUUUUCAUAUUUGUAUAUUUUUUCCAAUAGGCUUCACUUGAGCAGAUCAGGAUAGAAGGCAUAUGUGUUAUUGAGUAGGCUUUGAGCAACUUAAGAGUCGUGAUGUCUGGUUUGAAUUCUUUUUUAGGGGAGAAAAUAUGGUCCAACAGUAUUGCUAUCUCAAAUUCAAAAAUGUCAUUUUUUUUGUCAA